rnacentral:misc_RNA from 1 species
AGAGAGAGAGAGAGAGAGAGACGUUUAAGCUGAAAUUGAAAAUAUAAUGGUUAGCUUUCAGAAGUAAUUUAAUAUGUUCGGUGAGAAAAAUGCACUCCUUCAAAUCAAAAUUUUAAGCAGAAAAAAACAAAUAAAAAAUCUAGGUUUAUCUUUUGCCUAGUACUUCAAUUUUACAAACAUAUGAAUAUAACUAUAUAAUAUGUUUAACUUUUGCCCCAAUUUCACAGCAUUUUUAAAAGACGAUAUAAUAAUCACUAUCACCAUCCAACUUAUUUUCCAUUGAUGUGUAGUCUGAUAGGGAUGAUGGUGUAUUCUAGAGAAUCAAGAAAGUGCCGGAAGAUGUGGACAGCUCAGCUCCAUUCUGUUAAGAGUGAUUCCCAGAUGCAUGUGAUGCAGCUGCUAGGAGAGUUAUAUAUAGGAAGAGAAAGGGUCGAGUUGGGGGCAUGAAUUGAAUAAUUUGUAUUUUCCAGUUUUUUUAAGCUUGGGGGCAACUAGUAUAGUUGCUGGGGUGUGAGUGAGAGAAUUCUCUGGAUUGUAUUUCCAGGAUUUCUUCUAAUUCCACCUGUAAAUUGGGUUAUUGAAUAAACAACGUCUCCCUACUGCUAUUUUCCAUCUUUGCUGCAUUUGAUCUCCUUUUCUUUUAUUUUGACUCCUUACUCUAUCAAAAUCAAACUUUGAUGAUUAAAGAGAAGAAUGGAUACCUUUAAACGUCCAGCCAGCUCAU